UAGGGAAUCUUCGGCAAUGGACGAAAGUCUGACCGAGCAACGCCGCGUGAGUGAAGAAGGUCUUCGGAUCGUAAAACUCUGUUGUUAGAGAAGAACAAGGACGUUAGUAACUGAACGUCCCCUGACGGUAUCUAACCAGAAAGCCACGGCUAACUACGUGCCAGCAGCCGCGGUAAUACGUAGGUGGCAAGCGUUGUCCGGAUUUAUUGGGCGUAAAGCGAGCGCAGGCGGUUUCUUAAGUCUGAUGUGAAAGCCCCCGGCUCAACCGGGGAGGGUCAUUGGAAACUGGGGGACUAGAGGGCAGAAGAGGAGAGUGGAAUUCCAUGUGUAGCGGUGAAAUGCGUAGAUAUAUGGAGGAACACCAGUGGCGAAGGCGGCUCUCUGGUCUGUAACUGACGCUGAGGCUCGAAAGCGUGGGGAGCAAACAGG
rnacentral:rRNA from 1 species